rnacentral:lncRNA from 1 species
GGGAUCAAAGAAGCAAAAAACAUAGCAACAAUUGGGGAGCCAGCAGCAGUUGCAGAUGAUGUAUAAGAAGAUGUGGUAGUGGUGGAGGUUUCAGUUGAAGGGGUGGUGGAGGUUGAAGUUUUAGGGUUAGUGGAGGUGGAAGUGGGUGUGUCUUUGGUGUCAUCAGAAUCAGAAGGUGAGUCCUUUGCAGCUGGUGAAGGUGCUGUAGCAGGAGCAGAUGCUUUUUUAGCCUUU